GGAUCCAGACUUUGAUUAUGGCUCAGGAUGAACGCUAGCUACAGGCUUAACACAUGCAAGUCGAGGGGAAACGAUAGAGAAAGCUUGCUUUUUCUAGGCGUCGACCGGCGCACGGGUGAGUAACGCGUAUCCAACCUGCCCAUCACUUGGGGAUAACCUUGCGAAAGUAAGACUAAUACCCAAUGAUAUCUCUAGAAGACAUCUGAAAGGGAUUAAAGAUUUAUCGGUGAUGGAUGGGGAUGCGUCUGAUUAGCUUGUUGGCGGGGUAACGGCCCACCAAGGCGACGAUCAGUAGGGGUUCUGAGAGGAAGGUCCCCCACAUUGGAACUGAGACACGGUCCAAACUCCUACGGGAGGCAGCAGUGAGGAAUAUUGGUCAAUGGGCGAGAGCCUGAACCAGCCAAGUAGCGUGCAGGAUGACGGCCCUAUGGGUUGUAAACUGCUUUUAUAAGGGAAUAAAGUGAGCCUCGUGAGGCUUUUUGCAUGUACCUUAUGAAUAAGGACCGGCUAAUUCCGUGCCAGCAGCCGCGGUAAUACGGAAGGUCCGGGCGUUAUCCGGAUUUAUUGGGUUUAAAGGGAGCGUAGGCCGGAGAUUAAGCGUGUUGUGAAAUGUAGAUGCUCAACAUCUGCACUGCAGCGCGAACUGGUUUCCCUGAGUACGCACAAAGUGGGCGGAAUUCGUGGUGUAGCGGUGAAAUGCUUAGAUAUCACGAAGAACUCCGAUUGCGAAGGCAGCUCACUGGAGCGCAACUGACGCUGAAGCUCGAAAGUGCGGGUAUCGAAUAGGAUUAGAUACCCUGGUAGUCCGCACGGUAAACGAUGGAUGCCCGCUGUUGGUCUGAAUAGGUCAGCGGCCAAGCGAAAGCAUUAAGCAUCCCACCUGGGGAGUACGCCGGCAACGGUGCAACUCAAAGGAAUCGACGGAAGGGCGA
rnacentral:rRNA from 1 species